rnacentral:rRNA from 1 species
GACGUAGGGCGCGAGCGUUGUCCGGAUUUAUUGGGCGUAAAGAGCUCGUAGGCGGCUCGUUGCGUCGGCUGUGAAAACCCGCAGCUCAACUGUGGGCUUGCAGCUGAUACGGGCGGGCUGGAGUUCGGUAGGGGAGACUGGAAUUCCUGGUGUAGCGGUGAAAUGCGCAGAUAUCGGGAGGAACACCGGUGGCGAAGGCGGCGACCUGGGUCGAGACUGACGCUGAGGCGCGAAAGCGUGGGGAGCAAACAGG